rnacentral:rRNA from 1 species
AUUGAACGCUGGCGGCAGGCCUAACACAUGCAAGUCGAGCGGUAGCACAGGAGAGCUUGCUCUCUGGGUGACGAGCGGCGGACGGGUGAGUAAUGUCUGGGAAACUGCCUGAUGGAGGGGGAUAACUACUGGAAACGGUAGCUAAUACCGCAUAACGUCGCAAGACCAAAGAGGGGGACCUUCGGGCCUCUUGCCAUCAGAUGUGCCCAGAUGGGAUUAGCUAGUAGGUGGGGUAACGGCUCACCUAGGCGACGAUCCCUAGCUGGUCUGAGAGGAUGACCAGCCACACUGGAACUGAGGCACGGUCCAGACUCCUACGGGAGGCAGCAGUGGGGAAUAUUGCACAAUGGGCGCAAGCCUGAUGCAGCCAUGCCGCGUGUAUGAAGAAGGCCUUCGGGUUGUAAAGUACUUUCAGCGGGGAGGAAGGCGAUAAGGUUAGUAACCUUGUCGAUUGACGUUACCCGCAGAAGAAGCACCGGCUAACUCCGUGCCAGCCGCCGCGGUAAAAC